UGUCGUCAGCUCGUGUCGUGAGAUGUUGGGUUAAGUCCCGCAACGAGCGCAACCCUUAUUGUUAGUUGCCAUCAUUCAGUUGGGCACUCUAGCGAGACUGCCGCAGACAAUGCGGAGGAAGGUGGGGAUGACGUCAAAUCAUCAUGCCCCUUAUGACCUGGGCUACACACGUGCUACAAUGGAGAGUACAACGAGUCGCAAAGCCGCGAGGCUAAGCCAAUCUCUUAAAGCUCUUCUCAGUUCGGAUUGUAGGCUGCAACUCGCCUACAUGAAGCCGGAAUCGCUAGUAAUCGCGGAUCAGCACGCCGCGGUGAAUACGUUCCCGGGUCUUGUACACACCGCCCGUCACACCACGAGAGUUUGUAACACCCAAAGCCGGUGCGGUAACCGCAAGGAGCCAGCCGUCUAAGGUGGGAUAGAUGAUUGGGGUGAAGUCGUAACAAGGUAGCCGUAUCGGAAGGUGCGGCUGGAUCACCUCCUU
rnacentral:rRNA from 1 species